GCUGAGAUCCGCAUGCAUCAUAUCCUCCGAGUACGCCCUCCUCGUUGUCUUAGACCCAGAGAAGCCGAGCCUGCCGCCGCCUCGCUCAUCCCUAGAUCUGCGCCCAGUUAUGUCUCCUACCUCGUCACCAGCGUCUGCCGUGCCGACCCCGACCAACGCCGCCAUUCCGUGCGCUUGCUUCUGCGACUUUGUCACACUCGCAGACCAACUCGCCGAGGCCUUCCGUGGCCAUUUAGUGCCGCCGCUCCUAGACAAGAAUGUUGGUCGGGGAGCAAAGGACGAGGGAGAUCACGCGGUAUGGUGUACCCACUGUGGACAAGAUCUGCGGCCAUGGUAUGCAGCUCCCUUUCCAUAUUUGUCGGUCAUGGUAUCUGCGUAUAUCCGUCAUCUGCUUUACUCGAACAGAAUAAUGUUGAGUCAAUGUCUUCUGAGCCAAUUGACGAAUUGAUUAAGGCUGAUUGUUUUGCCAAAGCCUUUCAAGGUAGAACUUUUGCAGAAUACAUGUUUUUAUUAUAUCUGUUUGAUAGGCUUAACAACUAUCCGUGUAUUUGAACCCUGACUUGUAUGUCUAAUUCAUUUUUUAUAAUCACUCAAUAGAACUUAAGUAUGAGAUCAUGAAACGCUUGCAAGCAAGAAACAUAUAUGUGGUAUGACUAGGGAUGGAGUGAAUGAUGCCCCGGCUCUGAAGAAUGCUGACAUUGGUAUUACAGUAGCAUACUCCACCGAUGCGGCUUGUAGUGCUUCUGACAUUGUCCUGUCUGAACCAAGCCUUAGUGUGAUUAUUGGUGUUGUGUUGACGAGCCGUGCAAUUUUCCAAAGAAUGAAGAAUUACAUGGUAUGUCAAUUCCGCGAUUCCUUUUUCAAUCUUCGAGCAUUCCAUUUAUCUAUUCGAUAUUUUCAAAGUUUAUUUGGCUUGCUGAUUUAUGAUGUAUCAAUUACCAUCUGUUUUAUGGUAUGUACUUCUGCUUAAUUUUUAGAAAAUAAAGCUCUACCUUAACCCCUAGAUAUAUCUGACCCUAGAUACUUUGUUGUAGCAGCUUGGUUUUAUGAUUCUUGUGUUGAUUUGGUAGUUUGACUUCCCACCAUUUAUGGUCCUGAUCAUUGCCAUCCUCAAUGAUGGUAAGUUGGUCUUUAAUUUGUUCUGUUCAUAUUGACGCACCAACUUCAACCUCUGUACAUGAAUAGGUACCAUUAUGACUGUCUCUAAGGACAUAGUGAAACCAUCUCCACAACCUGAAGGUGAGAUUUUUGCGACUAGAGUAGUUCUUAGUGCUUAUUUGGCCACGAUGACUGUUAUUUUCUUCUGGGAUGCGUACAAGACCGACUUUUUCCCGCAAUAGUAGUUGUUCCACGUCCAAAGCCUUCAGAAAACUGACCAACAAGAUUUCUAGAUGCUUGCCUCUGCGGUGUACGUUCAAGUCAGUGUGAUCAAUCAGGACCUUAUCUUCAUGACAUGCUCUCGCAGUUGGUUGUUUGUGGAGCGUCCUGGGUUCUUGUUAGCGUUUGCUUCUAGGUGGCGUAGCUGAUUGCUACUCUGAUUACCGUAUACGCCAACUAGGCAUUUGCUAUGAUCAAGGGCAUUGGAUGAGGUUGGGCCGACACAUCUGGUUGUACAAUAUCAUCUCCUUCUUCCCGCCAGAUAUCAUCCAGUUCCUCAUUCGUUAUGCGCUGAGCAGGAGAGCGUGGAACCUCGUCCUUGAGCAGAGGGUAAGAACAUGCGUAAGAGAAUGGUUGUUGAGUCUUUGAAGGUUCAGUUUGGUAACCAUCUGUUUUUGCUGGCAUACACGUUUAAAUUGCAUUCACAAGCAAGAACUUUGGUACCGAAGAAAGGGAAUGCAGAUGGGAAGAUGACCUUCAGUGAUGUGAACCCGCUUGUAGAAGAGGCCAGAAGGAGAGCCAAGAUAGCAAGGUCCAAUUGUGGCUUCUCGAGCAUCUCCACUGAACACGACAACCUGACUUUGCACUGCCCCGUCUGAUUAAGGGGAGGAUGCCCUGUGUGAUUAAGGGGAGGAUGGAGUCAGUGGUGAAGCAGAAGGGUUUGAACAUUUAGUAGCCCUACUCCAUGUGACCGGCAAACUAUAGAGGCAUGAUUGUACUGUAUAUAUAGUAUGUAUAGGUAUAUACAUGUGCAUUGCCACGAGGGUUAAAAAUUAGUAUAAAACAUAGAUACGAAACGACAAACAUCGCUAUAAUAUUUUGUCACACUGAUUUUUGCAUAUCAUAACGAUGUUUGUCAUUUCGUAUCUAUAUUUCAUACUAAUUUUUAACUUCCGUAAUUCAGGAGGCCACUACAAUGAACCCUUCAUUGCGGAAGAUGGAGUGUCAGGAGUGCUUCUACACCACAAGCAAGUUUUGAUUGUCUCUUCUUUGAGUUCAUUAUUGUGGAUUACUUAUUCUUUUUACGAUGUGUUAUCGAGGCUGACAAGCUAUUUUAUUUUUGCGAAAUAGCUAAGGAUAAUCCACCUAUGACUUUUGCUGUUGCUGCCUGCGAAACUCAGGAUUUGAAUGUGACAGUCUUGCAAGUGUUUGGUCUUUAUGGAGAAAACCAUGUUUUUGCAAAGAUGAUUAUUUCCUGCCUGCUCUUUCUAUAGACAAAGAGCCAGAUCCUUCACAUGACAUUAUGGAGUUCAGCUACAAUGUUUCAACCACCACCAUUGACACAAAUUCUUCUGAUGGGGGAUGUUGGCAACAACAUCUAAGAAUUAAAGUGCCUAGGUAAGUUACCUUCUUUCAAAAUCAGUCAAAUAACCAUAAGUCCAAAACUACAAUGAUGUGUCUUCUUUGUGUGGUUUUCACUUGCUUUUCCCACUUUUAUGUAGUUACGUUCACUAAUGAAAAACUUAGGCUCUUGAUGUACAAUUAGAACUAUCAGCAUUGGUGCUUCACAAUAGCUUUUGUUUUUAGGGGAUAAUCUAAGAAGUCCUAAGUUAUAUUUUUUGCUUCUUCUCUAAAAAUAUCGUUCCAAUUUACUGAAUGACUUAGUACCCAUACAGUAAAGCCUAAAUUGUAAAUAAAUAGCAAAUAAGUAGCUUGGACCUCCUUUUGAAUCUGUUAAAGCCCUUCAUCGAAAUCUGGUUUAGUCAACUAGAGAAGAAAUUGUUGCUAAGAUUAUAUUAAUCGAGAAUUAUUCAUAGUUCUGAUUCCAGUCGUACGGUGUACACAAUACCUCACUGGAUAUUAGUAUCUUACUUUUUUAUCACUCGAACAAUUAAAUAUUAAGCUAUUCAUUGUUAUAGUUAAUACCUAGAUGUUGUAGAGUGUCUAACCUGAAUAUUUAAUUUUUAUGUGAUCGUUAUGCUCUAACAUUUUAUUAAAUAUUUGUGAGUCAGGCAACGGUGGUGACAUACGGAUGUGAACAACGUAUGAGGCAAGUGUGGACGGUUGGGCUAAUCACAAUCCAAAUUUAUUGUUUCACUUAAUUUCUUGGAAAUAGGUGAAAUUUUGUGAGGAUCGAAAGAACAUGUAAUAAAGGCAUGGCCUUCAGAAGCUAGGGAGAAAGGCGAGUCCAUUGUAGCCAAGCUUGGGGGGAGUCCGAGUUUGUCCAAGUCAACAGCCACAACGCAGAGCUUGAAGUCAAGAGGAGUGUGGUUUCCUGGACGUGACAAUGAGAUAUUGGCUCCCAUAUUUACUCCACCAUCAGUUGCUGAAGUUGAUGUUGAAGCAAAUUUGCCCCAACAGGCGUUAAAAGAUGUCCAUGUUCAUGCAUAUACUGCUGAAGAAACAAAAGAAGCAUUUUAUGUAGCUCGACUGUUCUUUCUUCUUCCCCUAAGCAGGGUGCUUUAUAGGUACUGUGUCCCAGUUUUAGUUAACUUUCCAUUUAUUUUGUUUGUCAAGUUCUGUACCAUCCUGAGGUGAUUAGAUAUUUGAACACAUGAAAUUGUUUCUACAUAUCUUUUGUAUUAAAAGGUAUUUCUACAUAAGAUGUGUCAUUUAUCCACAUUUAAACUAGCUAACAUGAACAAAGUUUUGUGUUAGGUUCGGUAUAUUUAACCCUGCAACAGUUUAUGAUCACCUAGGGGAGAUAUAUACUUUGCUCUUGUUUUUUCGAAGCUUUAUAUUCUAUAUUUUUAUCUACAUAAAGGUGAGCUAUGCUAAAAAAUAGCUUUGCUUUCUUGUAUCAUUAGCCAUUUGGCCAAUAAACUACAACUACGCUCAUGACCAUGAUGUUAACUAACAUGUACGCCUACGUAGGCUUGAUCGCUGGUCAUUAGGUCAAGUGAUGGAGGUGGGUGCGGUGCUGUCCUCUACCGGCCUCUACUUGGUGACGUAGACCUGGAUGUUCUAGCUGUUGUGCAUGGCAGACCUAGGCAUGUUCUCAUGCUCUUCGUGGCACGUGCCCCAUCUUACGCAUGCCCUGGGUCAACAUCAUGGCCAUCAGUGCCAUCAUCCUGGGCACAAACGGUUUAGAGAAUUGGUAAAACCAAAACAUCUAAAUGCCAAACCAGUAAAACUGGCGAAGUAGCUAAGCAAAAGCAUCAGAAUGCAACGUGGGUUCUCAGGCUGGCAGUAGUCUCAUUUCUUGAAUGAACACUGCUUCAAAUGCCAAAGGACAGCUCAGGAUCAUGCCACAAUUAUCUUCUGAGCUACUGCACAGAUAGACUAGAUGUCAUCUUCAAGGAUUGCUUUCUUCUUGAGAUUGUACCUGCAUUUGAUUCUCUUUUGUAGCUUUGUACCAUCAGCCACCAUAAUAGUUAGACUUUAGGUUAUGCUAUUCUGAUUGUGCAACGAACUUUAGAGUUCGAACAAAGCAUUUGCAAACUGAUGCUUUAUAAUAGAGAUUGGUUGUUGACAUAAUUUGUGAGAUA